AGUGAACGCUGGCGGUAGGCCUAACACAUGCAAGUCGAACGGCAGCACAGUAAGAGCUUGCUCUUACGGGUGGCGAGUGGCGGACGGGUGAGGAAUACAUCGGAAUCUACUUUUUCGUGGGGGAUAACGUAGGGAAACUUACGCUAAUACCGCAUACGACCUACGGGUGAAAGCAGGGGAUCUUCGGACCUUGCGCGAUUGAAUGAGCCGAUGUCGGAUUAGCUAGUUGGCGGGGUAAAGGCCCACCAAGGCGACGAACCGUAGCUGGUCUGAGAGGAUGAUCGGCCACACGGGAAGUGAGACACGGUCCAUGGUCCUACGGGAGGGAGCAGUGUGGUAUAUUGGACAAUGGGGGCGAGCCUGAUCCAACCAUACCGAGUGGGUGAAAAAGACGUUCGGUUUGUAAAGCCCUUUUGUUGGGAAAAAAAAGCAGCAGGUUAAUACCACGCUGUUCUGACGGUACCCAAAGAAUAAGCACCGGCUAACUUCGUG
rnacentral:rRNA from 1 species